rnacentral:misc_RNA from 1 species
UUUCCGUAGGUGAACCUGCGGAAGGAUCAUUACUGAGUGAGGGCCCUAUGGGUCCAACCGCCCACCCGUGUUUAUUGUACCUUGUUGCUGCGGUGCGCCCGCCUCACGGCCGCCGGGGGGCUUCUGUCCCCGGGUCCGCGCGCACCGGACACAUCAUUGAACUCUGUCUGAAGAUUGCAGUCUGAGCAUAUACUAAAUAAGUUAAAACUUUCAACAACGGAUCUCUUGGUUCCG